ensembl:miRNA pma-mir-26a-1 pma-mir-26a-1
GGAUGCAGCCUGGUUCAAGUAAUCCAGGAUAGGCUGGCGUCUCAGACCCCGCGGCCUGUCCUUGCUUACUUGGACCAGGAGGUAGUC